rnacentral:lncRNA from 1 species
GGUGAGAUUUUGGCUUAGCUUUGGUGGGAGAAAGAAAAGCAAUUCUUUUUCCUUGAAAAUGGAGUGACCUACGGCAAUGAAAUGGUGGAGAAGACAACCCACCUUGUUUUAACUUUGCUUUGUCAUUCUUUCAUACAUAGUUAGGUGACACAUGGUGGGUAAACUUAAUUUUAUCUUUUAACUUUCCAUAUUCACACUUUAACCUACU